rnacentral:rRNA from 1 species
CUGCCCCUGUCAGGGGGACAACCCGCCGAAAGGCGGGCUAAACCCGCGUACAUGCCACCGGGGCAUCCCGGAGGCAGGAAAGGCUUCGGCCGGACAGGGAUGGGCAUGCGGCGCAUUAGGCAGUAGGCGGGGUAACGGCCCACCUAACCGACGAUGCGUAGGGGUUCUGAGAGGAAGGUCCCCCACACUGGUACUGAGACACGGACCAGACUCCUACGGGAGGCAGCAGUGAGGAAUAUUGGUCAAUGGUCGGGAGACUGAACCAGCCAAGCCGCGUGAGGGAUGAAGGUACAGAGUAUCGUAAACCUCUUCUGUCAGGGAACAAAGGCGGGGACGUGUCCCCGGAUGAGUGUACCUGAAGAAAAAGCAUCGGCUAACUCCGUGCCAGCAGCCGCGGUAAUACGGAGGAUGCGAGCGUUAUCCGGAUUUAUUGGGUUUAAAGGGUGCGCAGGCGGUCUGUUAAGUCAGCGGUCAAAGCCCGGGGCUCAACCCCGGCCCGCCGUUGAAACUGGCAGUCUCGAGUUGGAGAGAAGUAUGCGGAAUGCGCGGUGUAGCGGUGAAAUGCAUAGAUAUCGCGCAGAACUCCGAUUGCGAAGGCAGCAUGCCGGCUCCACACUGACGCUGAGGCACGAAAGCGUGGGUAUCGAACAGGAUUAGAUACCCUGGUAGUCCACGCAGUAAAC